rfam:Mycobacterium iranicum strain H39 scaffold_40, whole genome shotgun sequence.
UGUUUGGAGAGUUUGAUCCUGGCUCAGGACGAACGCUGGCGGCGUGCUUAACACAUGCAAGUCGAACGGACCUUCGGGUUAGUGGCGAACGGGUGAGUAACACGUGGGUGAUCUGCCCUGCACUUUGGGAUAAGCCUGGGAAACUGGGUCUAAUACCGGAUAGGACUACGCACUGCAUGGUGUGUGGUGGAAAGCUUUUGCGGUGUGGGAUGGGCCCGCGGCCUAUCAGCUUGUUGGUGGGGUGAUGGCCUACCAAGGCGACGACGGGUAGCCGGCCUGAGAGGGUGACCGGC